rnacentral:tRNA from 2 species
UAGAAAGUGGUGUAGUGGAAGCACAGAGAGUUUUGAUCUCUCGGGGAUGGGUUCAAGUCCCUUCUUUCUAA